GGGAAUCUACCUUUUGCUACGGAAUAACUCAGGGAAACUUGUGCUAAUACCGUAUGUGCCCUUCGGGGGAAAGAUUUAUCGGCAAAGGAUGAGCCCGCGUUGGAUUAGCUAGUUGGUGAGGUAAAGGCUCACCAAGGCGACGAUCCAUAGCUGGUCUGAGAGGAUGAUCAGCCACACUGGGACUGAGACACGGCCCAGACUCCUACGGGAGGCAGCAGUGGGGAAUAUUGGACAAUGGGCGCAAGCCUGAUCCAGCCAUGCCGCGUGAGUGAUGAAGGCCCUAGGGUUGUAAAGCUCUUUCACCGGUGAAGAUAAUGACGGUAACCGGAGAAGAAGCCCCGGCUAACUUCGUGCCAGCAGCCGCGGUAAUACGAAGGGGGCUAGCGUUGUUCGGAUUUACUGGGCGUAAAGCGCACGUAGGCGGACUUUUAAGUCAGGGGUGAAAUCCCAGAGCUCAACUCUGGAACUGCCUUUGAUACUGGAAGUCUUGAGUAUGGUAGAGGUGAGUGGAAUUCCGAGU
rnacentral:rRNA from 1 species